rnacentral:lncRNA from 1 species
UGAUUCCUCUGCCUUGGCCUCCCAAAGUGCUGGGAUUACAGGCAUGAGCCACCACACCCAGGUACUUGUUAAGCCUGAGAAUAGAAUUGCUGGCCCUCCUUCUAUGUAAGCUCCCAGUCUGUCUGCAGAGGCCAGCCUUAAGGUUACUGUUUCUGCUGCUCAGAUGGCCCCAAGCAGGGGGACUCCAGGUGUGAUAUUGGGUACAUUGGUCAUCCCUCUGCCUCCCACCUGGAUGGAAACAGUCUGAGAGCCCUCUCUGUGGCUUGGUUUUAGGCAGGACCUUAGGACUUGUGGGUGAAUUGAUGGGGGAGAUACACACUUACCUAUGUCCUCUUUCCCAGCAUGGGACUUGAAUGCUGCUAUUGGUGCACAUUUCUGCAGACGUGUCUCUGGCUGUCAGGAUGCAGAAUGUUGGUAGGUCCAGUGUGGGGGCUGCCAAAGGCGGUGUCAUGUGCUCUGUGGAUUUUUGUGUGAUUAUAAUGGUCCCAUUUGAAGUUUUCCUGUUUGUUGCAGUAAAACCUCUCUUCAGUGUCUGUUACCUUUCUCUAUAUUCUUGGUGAAGGAGAGAGAUAGUAAUAAGGGGCCUAAAUGAGGUAAGAAGAGCAGAUGCUGUUCUCUGCUUCCUCCCUGCCACCAACAUUCCUUCUGCCCUGUUUUUCCUGGCCAGCUGUGCUCUGGGCAGUCCAAGCCUGUGAACCAGCCACACCCAGGAUCUGUGGUGGAGCUCAGUCCCAGACUGUUCUGGAAGAGUCGCCCAGAGGAGCCGUGUGGUCUCCCAUUCAGCAACAGAGUACGGGAUGGUCUCUCUGAAGGGCAGAGGGUCUGAGCACUGUCCCCUUCAUGGCAUCUAAGGCUGAAAUGCUGAAUGAUGCAAUGAGAGGAUUCUAGGGGAGAAAAGGAGCUGUACAUGGGCUUGAUUCUUCCCUCCCCAGCUGGUGGACACAGCACCAGAGGUGGAGCUGGAGGGCCCUCCACUGACCCACAUGCACUCCACUUUGCAGCUGUGCCCUGGGACACACUUAUAAUCUCAAAGUGUUAUGAAUUCCAACCACUGGAUUCUACCCUACUUCUGACAUAAUCUUCUUGGGUUGAUAGUAGCCUGUCUCAUUACCGAGUAUUUCUUCUUAUGGGUAGCCCUGGUUAGUCAUUUUCUUUUAACUUUUUGUUUAAAGAAGACCUGUAGAUAUGAGCUUUUUGUCAGAGAUGAUCUCUGCAGGCCUGAGUCUAAACUGUUAACCCUCUCUCAGAGAAUGAGUGCUGGCUCUUGAAUUUCAGGCGCUUUGACAUUUACUGAGGGAAAGAAGGAGAAUGGAAGGAGUGAGCAUAAAGCGCUGACCUGAGUGGAAUGGCGGGUCGACUUGCCAGAGCCCCGAGAUGAUUAUACUCUCCCAGCUCUAGGACAAGCUGUCCAAUUUCCCAAAAACCAAUUUGACAAUUGUCGAGUGACCAAUUUGCUGAAUUAGAAGAAUUUACUAAUUUACCAAAUUGCUUAUUUCUUUUAUGCAUUUCUAAAGACUUGAGCAAUUGGCAUGGGCUGGGUUGGCAGGGCCUGAAAGGGUUUGGAGCAAUGAGUCAGAAGCAAUGGUCUCUGGGAACAACCCUGUAGGUGGCGCCACUCUCUGGACUGAGAGGGGCACUGGGUGGAUGGUGGAGAGUUAGGGGAGGCUUUGCUGCAGAGAUCCGAGCCUUGCUGACUCUUCAGUUCUUGUUUUUAAAGCAAUCCUUAUUUUUGACCACCUUUUUUCCUUAAAAGUCAGUCAGCUCACCACUUUUGGAUUCUUCCUUGACUUCCUGGCCGUACAUACUUCCCAUCCUCACGCUGCCUCACUUGUUUGGCUCUUCAUCUCUCUCCUUCUCCUCCUUCACCCUGGAGCAACACCGGAGGCCUCUCAUGUCCUCCCGUGGAGAAGUGGGAGAACAGCACAGCCCUUGCCUUACUAUUUUGUUCUUACGACCCUCAGACCUUCAGGGGCUCACUUUCUCCCACAGCACUGUAGCCAAAGAAAGGUUUCUUUCCUAAGAGGGAUUAUGGUAUCAGCUCUUCAAAUACCAUUAAAUUUUUAUUUUCUACACAUAAACACAUUCUUAUGGUUUUGGAAAAUGGAAGCAGUAUAAAACCAAAAUUUUUUGCAAACUCAGUGUGAUAGCCUUCAUAUAUUAGGCAUUCAAUGAAUAUUUUAGUGAUUAACAAAUGGGUGGUUUUUAAUAAUGAACCUCACCCUGUUAUAACCAAAUACUCGUGUCAGAGAAACUAGCUUGCUUUUAUAUCAAGAUUAUGGCCCUGGAUUUUGAUAAUGCCACAGAAAUAUUGUCAAAUGUUGUUCACUCGGCUCUGCUCUUUCCAAGUUGAGGUGAGCUAAGGGAGCCAACCAAAGUAAGGUUGGUUUCCUGCUCCUUUUCCCCCCCACUUAACCCUUUGCUUAAAAAGCUCUCCGAGGCCAUAAACUACUAGGACACAACUCCCUAUUAAUUAGCCAUUUAUAACUAUGUUUCUGUUGAUUUUUUGGACCAAUCAUUAAUUUGAUAGGGUUAUAGGAAGUCCUAUGCUCCUGUAACUGAGAAGACACUGUCUAAGUGUGGGUCCAGAUUGAGGAGGUCCUUUGGGGUCUGUUGCUUCUAUCAUUGGCCUGACCCACGCUGUCUCUCAAAUUCAGACCUCUCAGAAAAAGGAAGAAAGGCUUCAUCCGCAGUGGGCAUUAAAAAAAAUCAUAAACAUCUAUUCAUGGUCUUGGAAUUGAAUCUUAAGGCAAAGCAGGAUCUCAGGUAAGAUUGACAGAUGAUGAACUGGCAGCCCACACCCCAUUCCUGUUGAUAUGUUCUACCUCUUUCUAUUACUGGGGUGUGAUUACUUCAAAGCCAGGAAGAGCUGCAAUCUAAUUUUAGAAGAAUGCCCUUCUUUUACACGUUGGUGAGUAUAUAUCUUAAUAUAUGAUGUAUAUAUCUAUAUAAUUUUAGUAGUUGUAUAAUAAAAAUUGGGAUAGGUAAACAAAAGAGAGCAGCUGAAAAGUCUACCUAUAAAGGCUUCAGGCUAACAUAGUUACUUAUAUUGCUUCUACCACAAAUCUGUGGGGAUGAUUUUUAUUUGUUGGGAAGGGUUGUCUCUGAAUUUCCUGUAAAGUUUGGCAUUUUAAAUCUUUUUUUUGACUCUUCUCCUGUUAAAUAUAUAUCUUGGAAACUUGGCUGUUUCUGUUUCCUGAGCUUCACAGCGAACCAACAAACCAGCAGUAACUGUAAUCCACCUCUUAAAAUUUAAUCCCUUGGGACAGUCCAUCUCAAUGGCAGAAUAAGAAACACUCUCCUGGCAGAAUAAGGGUGAAGAUAAGCCUAUUCCUGUACUUAUCUGGGAGCACAUGUAGGUAUGAGUAACAAGACCAAGAGCUGCCAAGGGUGAAGGAAGAUGUAGGAGCCCAUGGAUUGCAUGAGGGAAAUAUGGAUCCUGUGAAGGGCAAGUUGGUUUCUUUGUGUGGACGACCCAGAUAAAGCAAUGAAAAUGGAUAAUAAGGACAGUAAGGACAAGUGCCUUCCAAGGCAUUAAGGCAAAUGAGAUUGUAGCAUGGAUACAGAAGAGAAAGGAGAGAGAGAAAAAGUAGAUGGAAAAGUAAAUGACUCAAACCUUCCAUUACUGAAAGUUCCAAAUGUUUCUUUAAUGGCAAUCACCAGAUUGUAGGCCUUCAUUUUUCACCGGUCAGCAUUCCCUCAUCUUUCUGUUCAUAACAAAUGUGAGUUCCUCUUCUGACCACUAGAGGUCUCUAGAGAAUCACGGAUCAACAUCUGAAGCCUCAUACCCUCUUGCUAUCAGCCACUCUAGGAGGUGGAAAUGUUUAUUUUUCCAACAUGAAUAGUCAGUCACAUAGUCACAAGAGAUCCAAGGCCUGAAUCUUAAAUUUCUAAAAAUUAAAAAAUGCAUAUAGCUGCUUCAGUGGGUAGCUGCCUACUCAACUUCAAGCUGGCACUGACCAUCAUCCCUCAAAUAUGUCCCUUGCUAUUUUGAUGGUAGAAAUUCUGCUAUUACACAGAAUAACAGCACUGCUUCUACUAAAAAGGCAAAUGCUGUGGAAGCCUAAUUUAUACAAUCAUAAUGAGUUAUUUAUACGAUAGUAUGAGUGACUCCGUUGGGCCUUUGCCAUUGUGAUUACGAAGGAUGACAGAUCAGGGUUGGUGGGGAGAUGAGGAGGGCAAUGAAAGAGGAGGUGAAGACAAACUUCAUCUACUUCACACCAUUGCAGAGGUCUGACCCCAGGUCCUCUUCCAACUUCCUGCCCCUCAGUAAGUGCUGUGGGUGUGUAACCCAACUCUGGGGUCAAGUGAACAAACUGCCCUCAACUUCCUUAAGGCUUCCUGUUCAAGACGAUGACUUCCAGACUUUACUGGGACACUGAUAUUAUCACCUCUGGAGUCCUUGAUGUGACUCUCUUCCUGGUCAUAUGGACUGUAGCUAUUUUGGGCGUGUCCAACAUGUUUGAUAGUGCCGGUGAUGACAAGUGUACAUUUCAACAUUCCAUUAUUUAGAACACGCAUGUAAUUAUUUGUAAUGAAUCACUGAUGACAUCUGGAGAACAAUGAAGUCCUCUUUUAAUGUUUGGAUGAUUAGCUAUCGGAAAUUUUUACUUUGAUGGUCUUUCAUUUUUAUCUCAAGGAUUUUGGAUAUUAGUUCCUGUUGCACUCUGAUGUACAUUAAUUUUUCCUACAUUUAUCUGUCCAUCAAACAUUUAUUGAGAGUCUAUUAAUUUCCUCUUACACUGAAGGCUCUAUAAAUAUGAGGAUGAAUAGGAAGAAUAGGGCAGGGUUCUCAAGAAGUUCGUCAGUUGAUAGAAGGGCCAGAUAUGUUGAGGCAGUUACGAAGUGCAUGAUAAAUAGAGAAGUACGAAGUGCAUGAUAAAUAGAGAAGUACGAAGUGCAUUGGGACUAGGAAAAAAAUAAAGAAAUACUUCUAGAAAAAUAAAGUCCAUUUUCUCAGCUUGUUUGAAAGCCAUCAUCUGUUGUUGUUAUUAUUUUUCAUCAGGGGACAGUAGUCUGAUAAUUCACCUUGAUGCCUUUGGUAUAUUUUUUAAUUGCUUUUAGCUCUUUUAAAAGGUGCUUACCACAGGGUUGAAGGGUAGAGUAUAUGUAAGGCAAUGUGGCUAGAGCCUACUGGUAUAACCCAUUCCAAAGGAGUGACCUCUUAUCUGGUCAAAGGAAGACCAGUGGCCAGUAGGGUUGCCUGUGUUUUCACAGUGGAUAUCCUGGAGCUCCUGAAGUUGGUACUACUGGAACACAGAACAUUCCCUACUGAAGAGAAUGUUAUAAAGUGCAUAUGUUCUUUCUUUCUGCAAUUUUCAAGGAUUGUGCACAUCUCUCAGUAACCUAGCCUUCUUUUGAAGCCUUGCUUACAAGACAGAAAAUUAGACAGCUGCUCCAAAAGAGUCAGAUGCUGAGAUCCAUUGUCCACCCUGGCUCCUGCUCUGAAUUGACAUCAGUUUGCAACUAGCAGUUUCAUAAAUCAAGAAAAAGAAGAAAGGUAAAUUAAUGACUGUGUUAACUAGAGGGGCUCUGAAUUUCUGCUUUACAUGUACUCAUUUUGAAUUUCACUUUUAUUAUAAUGAACUUGCAAACACAGCAUUGCAAUAGUAUAUGCACCUCCCAAAGAUGCUGGGAAAUAGCUGAUAUUUCAUCAUUUGAGGACAGUUUGUGCCUGCAAGUGGCAGAGGUGCAGGAGGAGACAAAUAAAAGGGAUGCCUACAUCCUAUUUCCAUGAAUUUCUGUCCUCUGAGCUGAAAGACAAUUUACAAGUUGGCUGAUAAGACCUUGAAGAAAGAAGAUAUUUUAAAACUUUAAUUGAAAAUCCCCAUUCCUUCUCAUUGAAGAAGCAAAAGAAGAAACUAUAAUGAUGGACACUCUGGUGCUAGUAUCAGUCAUUUUGAUCACAAGACGUGGACCAGCCCACCUUGGAGCUCACUGUGGUGGUGGCCUGGUCCUAAUGCAAGUCCUAAUGGAGCUCUUGGAACUGGCUGUAGCCUUUGCUGAGCAGGAGCAACUAUGUCUCUGGUUCUUAAGGAUUGAAAAGGUACGUUGAAGAUGGAGAACAACUGAUGUCAAGACACAUUUUGGUUGUAAGGGACAGAAGUCCAACUCCAACGAGCUUGCCAAGGAUGGAACCUGCUGGCAAACAUAACCAAACUUUGGGAAGGGCAGGGUAUGGUUAACCUCAGGUUUCUGGAAGCAGAGUGUACAGUGCUGUGCCGUCCCUCUUCUCUCUGCUUCUCUCUGCGUAUUGGCCCUAUCCUCUCAGUGGGGCACCCUCCCUGAGCAGCGAACAGCAGCCACAGGAAGCUCCAGUGUCAAUGCCUCCCACAGCUUUCCAGAGAAGCAGCAGCCUCUUUGUUAGCUCCGUAUCAAAGACAUCCACAGGCAGGGCUUUGUGUGACCCAGUUUGGGUCACGUCUUUAUUUGGGGCCCGGAGGAAAUGGAUACAAUGACUACAGCCCAUCAUAGAACCUCAUGUUUAGAGGACCAAAUUUCCUCUCUCCAAAAGUGAAAUGUUGUCACUGUCCAUUCAACUGAUGAAAAUCUUCCUUUUCAACAGAAAAACUAUCAUGAUGUUGUCUGUUGGGCUUCAGUUUCUUACAGCAGUCAUCUUAAGAAUUAAACUGGUAUGGAUAAUCUGACUAUGAACUCCUUGAGGGCAGGGACCAUAUUAUAUAAUACUUCUGUGUCCUCUGCUAUUUCUUAGCAGAAUUUUGAAAAUGUGCCAAGUGUUGACUUGGUUCGAUCACUUGUGAGAAUGGAGGGACCCAUAAUGUUAAUAAUCAAUGAAGGUUGUUGGAGUUACUUACCCAAAACCUUAUGAACUUAGCCUUCCCUAGCAGAUUUAGUUUCGUAAUUUGUCCGGUAUAAGCAAACACUAAAGAGGGAUUGGGGAAAGUUGUGAGUUGAGUAGUUGGGAAAAAGGUAGUUUGCAGUUUUAUUUACGUCUCACAGCUUGACAUUUUUUGUUUGCCUUGGAGGGGGUACUUUUAAAAAUUCCUCUUUUGAAAACAAUAAAAUCUUAGAUUUUGGAUAACAGAUAUUUCUGUACUAUAUACCUCACUUAAGAUUUUCAAAGUAAUGUUUAAAAGUGCCUUUUAUAUUUUUUCAUACCACAUUGUAGGGAAGGCCAGGGUCAUUUUUUAACACUUAACUAUGCUCAAUACCUCCUCACCACUAUAAAGUAAGGUCGAAUGUUGGUUAAAGCAAAGCUGUCUGGAAUCACCCUGUCAAAAGUACUGAUUUAUAACCUUGCUACUCACAUUUCUUACUGUGGUGCCCUCCCUCUUGUUGGCUCCUGCAUCUUUGAAGUACAGGGAAAAUGAACUAAUAUGGCAGCUCCAAUAUGCAGCUAAUCCUGCCAAUGAUGUCUCCCCUGGAAGUGUUUGAGAGAAGAAUUUCUUUUCCCAGUAUGGAUUUAUGUAAACAUUUGUUCCAUUCACGAGUAGCACAUUAAUGCCUAAUUCUGGAAAAAAUACAAAGAAAAAACCUUU